AGGGCCAUAUGACGGUGAAACAUCGCUUCCCUUACGAUCACCAAAAUUAAGCAACUUCGUGCCUGGUCAGUACCUAGAUGGGUGACCACUUGGGAAUACCAGGUACUGUAAG